UGAGAAUGAUCUGGCUGUGAAAUCUCUCAUGCCAUUGAUCAUCAGGAUUCAUCUAGCUGAUCUGGCUGGCUAGGUAGGNACUCUUUCCACUCA
rnacentral:snRNA from 1 species